rnacentral:misc_RNA from 1 species
AACCUUAUGGACCUGCGGGCGUAUACCUGCGGAAGGAUCAUUACAGAGUUGCAAAACUCCCUAAACCAUUGUGAACGUUACCUAAACCGUUGCUUCGGCGGGCGGCCCGGGUCCUUCCCGGCGCCCAUCGGCCCUCGCGGGCGCCCGCCGGAGGUAAACCAAACUAUUGCAUUGUAUGGCCUCUCUGAGUCUUCUGUACUGAAUAAGUCAAAACUUUUAGCAACGGAUCUCAGAUCGGAA